UCCGGGGUCGUCUAAAGGUAGGACAACAGCCUUUGAAGCUGUAUAUCUUGGUUCGAUUCCAAGCCCCGGAA
rfam:Parcubacteria (Magasanikbacteria) bacterium GW2011_GWA2_46_17 TX39_C0010, whole genome shotgun sequence.